GACAAACGCUGGCGGCGUGCUUAACACAUGCAAGUCGAACGCUGAAGACCUGGCUUUUGUUGGGUUGGAUGAGUGGCGAACGGGUGAGUAACACGUGAGUAACCUGCCCUCUUCUUUGGGAUAACGCCCGGAAACGGGUGCUAAUACUGGAUAUUCACUGAUCUUCGCAUGGGGGUUGGUGGAAAGGUUUGUUCUGGUGGGGGAUGGGCUCGCGGCCUAUCAGCUUGUUGGUGGGGUGAUGGCCUACCAAGGCUUUGACGGGUAGCCGGCCUGAGAGGGUGACCGGUAACAUUGGGACUGAGAUACGGCCCAGACUCCUACGGGAGGCAGCAGUGGGGAAUAUUGCACAAUGGGCGAAAGCCUGAUGCAGCGACGCCGCGUGAGGGAUGGAGGCCUUCGGGUUGUAAACCUCUUUCGCUCAUGGUCAAGCCGCAACUGUGGGUUGUGGUGAGGGUAGUGGGUAAAGAAGCGCCGGCUAACUACGU
rnacentral:rRNA from 1 species